GCUGGGUGGAUUAGUGGCGAACGGGUGAGUAACACGUGAGCAACCUGCCCCUCACUCUGGGAUAAGCGCUGGAAACGGCGUCUAAUACUGGAUACGAAACGCAACCGCAUGGUUAGUGUUUGGAAAGAUUUUUUGGUGGGGGAUGGGCUCGCGGCCUAUCAGCUUGUUGGUGAGGUAAUGGCUCACCAAGGCGUCGACGGGUAGCCGGCCUGAGAGGGUGACCGGCCACACUGGGACUGAGACACGGCCCAGACUCCUACGGGAGGCAGCAGUGGGGAAUAUUGCACAAUGGGCGGAAGCCUGAUGCAGCAACGCCGCGUGAGGGAUGACGGCCUUCGGGUUGUAAACCUCUUUUAGCAAGGAAGAAGCGAAAGUGACGGUACUUGCAGAAAAAGCGCCGGCUAACUACGUGCCAGCAGCCGCGGUAAUACGUAGGGCGCAAGCGUUAUCCGGAAUUAUUGGGCGUAAAGAGCUCGUAGGCGGUUUGUCGCGUCUGCUGUGAAAACCGGAGGCUCAACCUCCGGCCUGCAGUGGGUACGGGCAGACUAGAGUGCGGUAGGGGAGAUUGGAAUUCCUGG
rnacentral:rRNA from 1 species